GGUAAUGGCUCACCAAGGCGACGACGGGUAGCCGGCCUGAGAGGGUGACCGGCCACACUGGGACUGAGACACGGCCCAGACUCCUACGGGAGGCAGCAGUGGGGAAUAUUGCACAAUGGGCGAAAGCCUGAUGCAGCGACGCCGCGUGAGGGAUGACGGCCUUCGGGUUGUAAACCUCUUUCAGUAGGGAAGAAGCGAAAGUGACGGUACCUGCAGAAGAAGCGCCGGCUAACUACGUGCCAGCAGCCGCGGUAAUACGUAGGGCGCAAGCGUUAUCCGGAAUUAUUGGGCGUAAAGAGCUCGUAGGCGGUUUGUCGCGUCUGCCGUGAAAGUCCGGGGCUCAACUCCGGAUCUGCGGUGGGUACGGGCAGACUAGAGUGAUGUAGGGGAGACUGGAAUUCCUGGUGUAGCGGUGAAAUGCGCAGAUAUCAGGAGGAACACCGAUGGCGAAGGCAGGUCUCUGGGCAUUAACUGACGCUGAGGAGCGAAAGCAUGGGGAGCGAACAGGAUUAGAUACCCUGGUAGUCCAUGCCGUAAACGUUGGGCACUAGGUGUGGGGGACAUUCCACGUUUUCCGCGCCGUAGCUAACGCAUUAAGUGCCCCGCCUGGGGAGUACGGCCGCAAGGCUA
rnacentral:rRNA from 1 species